UACGUAGGGUGCAAGCGUUGUCCGGAAUUAUUGGGCGUAAAGAGCUCGUAGGUGGCGGGUCACGUCGGGUGUGAAAGCCCGGGGCUUAACCUGGGAGGUGCGUUUGAUACGGAUGGGCUAGAGUUCGGGAGAGGAGAGUGGACUUCCCAGUGUAGAGGUGAAAUUCGUAGAUAUUGGGAAGAACACCGGUGGCGAAGGCGGCUCUCUGGACCGAGACUGACGCUGAGGCGCGAAAGCGUGGGGAGCGAACAGG
rnacentral:rRNA from 1 species